rnacentral:rRNA from 1 species
UUUGAAGCUUUCGCUACUAGAUGAGCCUGCGUAAGAUUAGCUUGUUGGUGAGGUAACUGCUCACCAAGGCUACGAUCUUUAGCUGGUCUGAGAGGAUGAUCAGCCACAUUGGGACUGAGACACGGCCCAAACUCCUACGGGAGGCAGCAGUGGGGAAUAUUGCACAAUGGGCGCAAGCCUGAUGCAGCCAUGCCGCGUGUAUGAAGAAGGCCUUCGGGUUGUAAAG